rnacentral:rRNA from 1 species
AUCUUGGACAAUGGGGGAAACCCUGAUCCAGCCAUCCCGCGUGUGCGAUGAAGGCCUUNGGGUUGNANAGCACUUUUGGCAGGGANGAAAAGGCUCUGGUUAAUACCUGGAGCUGCUGACGGUACCUGCAGAAUAAGCACCGGCUAACUACGUGCCAGCAGCCGCGGUAAUACGUAGGGUGCAAGCGUUAAUCGGAAUUACUGGGCGUAAAGCGUGCGCAGGCGGUUUGGCAAGAAGGAUGUGAAAUCCCAGGGCUUAACCUUGGAACUGCAUUCUUAACUGCCAGGCUAGAGUAUGUCAGAGGGGGGUAGAAUUCCGCGUGUAGCAGUGAAAUGCGUAGAUAUGUGGAGGAAUACCGAUGGCGAAGGCAGCCCCCUGGGAUAAUACUGACGCUCAGACACGAAAGCGUGGGGAGCAAACAG